rnacentral:rRNA from 1 species
GACGAACGCUGGCGGCGUGCCUAAUACAUGCAAGUCGAGCGCAGGAAACUGACGGAACUCUUCGGAGGGAAGGCAGUGGAAUGAGCGGCGGACGGGUGAGUAACACGUAAGGAACCUGCCUCAAGGAUUGGGAUAACUCCGAGAAAUCGGAGCUAAUACCGGAUAGUUCAUCGGACCGCAUGGUCCGUUGAUGAAAGGCGCUCCGGCGUCACCUUGAGAUGGCCUUGCGGUGCAUUAGCUAGGUGGUGGGGUAACGGCCCACCAAGGCGACGAUGCAUAGCCGACCUGAGAGGGUGAUCGGCCACACUGGGACUGAGACACGGCCCAGACUCCUACGGGAGGCAGCAGUAGGGAAUCUUCCACAAUGGACGAAAGUCUGAUGGAGCAACGCCGCGUGAGUGAUGAAGGUUUUCGGAUCGUAAAACUCUGUUGUAAGGGAAGAACACGUACGAGAGGGAAUGCUCGUACCUUGACGGUACCUUACGAGAAAGCCACGGCUAACUACGUGCCAGCAGCCGCCGUAA